rnacentral:rRNA from 1 species
AUGCGCUGCUGCUUGGCGAUCAACGCCUCCGUCUGCUCAAUUGCCCGGUCCACCGUCGAAAGCACUUCGGCGAUUUUGGUUUGUUCGGUUUUUUCCUUCGGAAAGAGAAGUUUUACGCGAGCCAGUGAUUUCUUGGAGAUUUCCGCAAACGUAGUGCCCUCGCCUAGGUGCUUGAGUUUAUCAACGUUGAAAACGAUAUUGUAAUACGUAUACUCGGAAUCAAGCGAAUUGUGAAGGUUUAUGCUCUUGCAGCCCUGGUUAGUGCAAAACUCGACCUUGGGUAUCGCGACGUAACCGAUUGGGGCGCGCGAUGAGAUGACGAUCGAGCCGGGCGGCAACAAUGUGGCUGAACAUCCGCGUAGCCCUUGG